rnacentral:lncRNA from 1 species
GUCUCUGUAAGCACUUUAUUUGGUUAUUGCACAUAAGCAAUUGACAGUGGACUCGAGUUUCCUAGUGCACUUUGUAUUUCCAUGAGCAUUCCUGCAGUGCCUAACCUCUUCCCCCAAAGCCACAGCUGGGGUCACUACCCAGAGGGGACACUCAUCACCCCAGAAAGGGAAGGACUCUGCCAGCCAGCCCACGGCACGCAUCCCAAGCAGCUAGAGCUCUGAGUUGCACUUGUCCAUCGAUUGCACAUACAAUAAAUAAAUGCACUUAUUGGAGAAGGGCAGUCGGUUCCCCUGGGAUCUGUUCUCCUCGUUAUAAUUCAAGUGUUAAAUGUGGCGCUCUGCAUAUAUCACAUUCUGCUACUGAAGCGAUCGGAACAUACCACUGGCGUGGGGCAGCGAGGGGCUGUGUCUCUCACAAACAUAUUGCUAAGGUAAGGCCUGGCUGGGGGGGACCCGGGGUGGGGACCGUCCCUGUCUCACCCUUUGGAGGGGAGCGGAGCAGCUCCAGCUCCCAGAGGAGCUCCACUCAUUUCUUUCCCACGGCAGGUGCCGGCUCUGGGGCUUUGCCCUCCUUGCUGGGGGGCUUCUCAGCUUUGGGGGGCUCUUUACUGGCUUUGGAGUCAUCUUUGGGUUUUGAUUUGGGGUCUUCCACCUUCUCCUUCUUUGGUUCCUCCACCGUUUUCUUUGGUUCCUCCACCUUUUCCUCAGCCUUAGGCUUCUCUGGCUCCUUCACAGCUGCUUUGCCACCCUCCUGCUGAGGCUUUGGUUGAGCAUCCUUCUCAGCUUUCCCUUCUUCUGCAGGUUUGGAGGCAGCCUUGGUCUCCUUCACCUGUGGGGCUGGAGGCUCUGGCCCAGCAGCUGCCUUCUCUUUGGGUUUCUCCUCCGCCUUGGCCGGGGCAUCCUUCUUGGGAGCCUCAUCCUUCCUGCCCUCUGCUGCAGGCUUGGGGGGAGCCUUCUCCUCCUUGGGCUGCUCUUCCUUUGCAGGGGCCUUUGGCUCCUUUGGAGGGGCGGGGACAGGCUCCUUGGCUGGGGCUGCCUCCUUCUGUGGGGACUUGGCUUCCUCCUUCGCUGGGGACUUGGCUUUUUCUGGGGACUUCACAGUCGGGGUCUUGGCCUCCUCCUUUGAGGGAGACACAGGUUUCUCUGGGGAUUUGGCAGCUGGGGUCUUGGCCUCCUCUUUUGAGGGGGGUGUGGGUUUCUCUGGGGACUUGACUGCUGGGGUCUUGGCUUCCUCCUUUGGGGGGGUUGAGGGCUUUUCUGGUGACUUGACAGCUGGGGACUUGGCCUCCUCUUUUGAGGGGGUUGCGGGUUUCUCUGGGGACUUGACAGCUGGGCUCUUGGCCUCCUCCUUCAAGGCGGUUGGUGGCUUUUCUGGGGAUUUAACAGAUGGAGGCUUGGUCUCCUCCUUUGUAGGGGUCGGUGGCUUUUCUGGGGACUUCACAGUCGGGGUCUUUGCCUCCUCUUUUAAAGGUGUUGCAGGUUUUUCUGGGGACUUGACAGGUGGGCUCUUGGCCUCCUCUUUUGAGGGCACUGGGGGUUUUUCUGGGGAUUUGACAGCUGGGGACUUGGCCUCUUCCUUUGAGGGGGGUGCAGGUUUCUCUGGGGACUUGACAGCUGGGCUCUUGGCCUCUUCCUUUGAGGGAGUUGAGGGCUUUUCUGGGGACUUGACAGCUGGGCUCUUGGCCUCCUCCUUUGAGGGGGUUGAGGGCUUUUCUGGGGACUUGACCGCUGGAGACUUGUCUUCCUCCUUUGAGGGGGUUGAGGGCUUUUCUGGAGACUUGACUGUUGGGGACUUGGCUUCCUCCUUUGAGGGGGUUGAGGGCUUUUCUGGAGACUUGACUGUUGGGGACUUGGCUUCCUCCUUUGAGGGGGUUGAGGGCUUUUCUGGGGACUUGACUGCUGGGGACUUGGCCUCUUCCUUUGUAGGGGACUCAGGUUUCUCCGGGGACUUGGCUUCUUCUUCACCCUCUGGUUCAGCUUUCUCCUCUUCCUUCUCUUCUUCAGCUUUCUCCUCUUCAGCUUCCUUCUCAGCCUCCUCCUCCUCGGUCACCUCUUCAGUCACUUGGAUUUCCUCUGUCUGCUCCUCCACAAUCACUGUCUCCUUCUCAGAUUUCUCCACCACCUUGAUUUUCUCUUCACUUUUCACCUUGAUGUUGGCGGCGAUGCUGGGAGCCUUGGGGACCACUUCGGGGUAGGAGACCAUUCCAAAGCCGGUCUCAAUCCUAUACUCCUCUCCUUCCAAGAGCUUUCUGCCAGGAGAAGACCAGAGCAGGGCCAUCAGCAGCUGCACCCACACCCUGCAGGAACAUCUCCCUCCCUGCCAUCUGUAUGCCAUCCCCCCCAUGCAGGCUUCCUCACCCUUCCUUCCACAAUCCCUGUGCAAGGCUGGUUUUGGAGGACAGACUUGUCACUCUUAUGAAGAAGGACUCCAGGUGUUAGCAAGGGCUCUCAAGGAAUGUUCUCAGAGACACCAUCGCUGGGGACUGGCCAAGACAUGCACCCCCAUUCCCUUUGCCAACCCCAUACCUAUAGGCAGCAAUUUCAAUAUCCAGGGCCAUUUUGACGUUAAGCAGAUCCUGGUACUCGCGGAGCUGAGCUGCCAUCUCCCACUUGGUGUUUCUCAGCUCAUUGUCAAGCUGCUGGAUGGUUUCCUGCAACAGACAGAGUCACUUGGUACCAUGCAGGGAGGGAAGGGGGAAAAUGCUGGGGCUCUUUCAGUUUGUCCUUGAGGAAACCCCUGA